rnacentral:lncRNA from 1 species
CUUCCAUCUCUUGUUCAGUGGGUGGCUCAUGCGCAUCCUCAACAUCUUCAAAUGUGAAGUCUUCCCUUUGGCAAAGGACAAAGGGAACACCACGCGGUACAGAGUACGCAGUCAGCGUACGCGCUAUACGAUCCGAAGCUUCAAUAUCUCUCGUACUCAGCUCGAUCGAGGCAUUCAUGUGCACUCGAUUCGGAUCGUUCCACAUCUCCCGGCUCCCAGGGAGAAACUCAGAAGUGAUGAAAAUAAACUCCUUCCUCCAGUUGCAUCCGAAAUUCGACGGGAGCUCGUCGACGAUGUUUUUGUCGAAGUGGCGUCGCGUGAAUCCAACGCGACUGGAUGCAGACUUCUCUCUUGUGAGCUUGUAAUAGUAAAGCAACAAGCUC